GGAAUAGGUGAUGAGAACAAUACAGGAACACCAUAACCCUCUUCUAUGAGUGAUAGACCAAAGUCUUUAAUGGGAACCUCUCUGAUGCUUU